rnacentral:rRNA from 1 species
GACGAACGCUGGCGGCGUGCCUAAUACAUGCAAGUCGAGCGGAGCGGCGAACGGGUGAGUAACGCGUGAGUAACUGCCCCCCUCUCUGGGAUAACAGUUGGAAACGGCUGCUAAUACCGGAUAGUGGGGGAUGACUCGGGUCCUAUCAGCUUGUUGGUGGGGUAGUGGCCUACCAAGGCGACGACGGGUGGCCGGCAUGAGAGGGCGACCGGCCAAAUUGGGCUGGGAUACGGCCCAAACACCAACGGGGGGCAGCGGUGGGGAAUAUUGCAGAAUGGGGGAAACCCUAAGGCAGCAACGCCGCGUGCGGAAUGACGGCAUUCGGGUUGUAAACCGCUUUCAGCCAAGACGCGGUAGUGGCAGAAGAAGCACCGGCUAACUACGUGCCAGCAGCCGCGGUAAUAC